rnacentral:snoRNA from 1 species
ACCCAGGCUGAUAACUGGAUGACUUGAGGUUAAUCAAUCCCUUUUUGUCUUUUAAUUGUCUGGGAGAGCAGCAGUUUUGCUGGAGGGAAUCUAAUCUUACACAGUGGUGUUUUGCUUUCACAGCUCGACUGUUUAAUUUUCCUUCUCAUUC